AGAGCGAGCGCGGCUGGAGGAGGGAGGAGACUGGAGGCGGGAGCAGGAGGAGGGCAAGGAGGCGGGGCGGGCGGUCCGACCCAGGGCGGGUGGAAGGUGCGCCUCUCUUGGGGAACGGGCGGACCGCAGCCUCCCCGCGCCCCCAGCCUCCGCCUUGGCGCCCUCCGCUCUUUUCCUCCCGGCCUCCGCGCUGGCACAGGUCAGAGGGGCCCGGCGUCUGGUGUCUUCCGGACCCGGGGUAGGAGGCUGGCAGAAGUGGCAGGGUCGGUGCACGCGGGAAGCUGGGACGCGGCGCUGGCGGGUCCGCGGGCACCGAAGCGGGACGUCUCUCCUGCGGACUGCGGGCCUGGGGCUGAGCCCUCGGGUCUGAGACAGCGGGCGCGAGCAGAUCUCUCCUGCCGCCCAAAAGCCCCAAAGAGAGCGUGAGUGGGCGUGUUGGGGGCGCCAGAGCAUAAUAAACCACACCCCCUACCCAGCGCCCGAGAGGAAAGAAGCCAAGUGGAGGGCGUGGGGUGAGCGGGAGAUUGCUCCGAACCCCUUCCCCAAAUGUUUUCCCGCCCCGACUGGACUCCGUCGGGCCUGCGGAGUCCGAGGAGGCGCGCGUGUCCAGGUGGCGAGCGCCCCCUACCGCCGCCUGCGUGCCAAGCUCGUCUGCAGCCCGCCGGAGACCCGCAUCCUUGCCAAGUCCUGGUGGCGCUGAGAAGGUUCCCAAGCCCGCGGGCGCAAGCGAGUGCGCAGAGCCUGGAUUGACGACUUCAGCUUUCCUGUUUCUCCUGCAGCUGCCUCAGUUUCCUCCAUUAAGGGCAAAGAGGGAUGUUUGGCAAUGUUUGGGGACAUUUUUGACUGUCACCGUGGGAGGAAGAUGCUACUGACAUCUACCGGGUAGAGGCCAAAGAUGCUACCCAACACCUUACAAGGCCCAGGACAGCCACCCUCAGUGAAGAUGCAUCAGACCCAAAACACUAAUAAGGCUGAGAUGGAGAAACCGUGCACAGAAUGGUGCAACCCUGGUUCAGUCCUGGGGUCCCUUUUCUUCUUCACCUGAACCCUUCUUGGGUAAUUAAGUUUAGCCCCUGGCACCCACCUGACUCUACAAAGUACAUCUCCUGCCCUGAACUUCAGGCUCGUGCAGCCCACAUGCUCCCUGACUCAACCAUUUGAUGUCUAAUAGCCUCAGACUUAAACACACCCAUUUUCCCUGAACUGUGCAUGCCUCUCCCCUCAGUUCUCAAUGUUAAGUGGUGCCCUCACCCCCCACAUACUGUUGCAAGUGUAGUUGCCUCAACCUCCAAAAACAGUCCCAAAGCAUCUGGCUAUGCCCCUUUCCAUGACACCCACUCUCACUUGUACAAUUGUAGUGGCUUCCAACUGUUCUUCCUGAUUCCAAUUCAUUUUCCAGGGAGCAUCUGUAAUGACUUUUUAAGUUUUAAACCCAGUCUUCUCACAUCCCUUCUUAGAAACUUCCAGCACCUGCUCCCUGUUGCUCUUGGAAUAAAACCAUCACUCUCUGGCUGACCAGGUCCUGUCUGUGUCCCCACCCAUUUCAUCUCCCCACUCACACUGGCCUGACACCUUGCUCCUUUCUGCCUCAGGGACUUUGCACUGGCUGCUCUUUCUCCAGAUGUUCCCAGGGUAGCACCCUCCUGCCAUUCAGGUCUCAGUCGAAAUGCCAACAACCUGUAGAGAUGCUCCCCCCUUACCUCACUUACCAAUCCCAGAUGCUUUCUUAUUUUAUCUGUUUACUGUCCAUCCCAACCCCCAUCCUUGAAUAAAAAUAAACCCCAUGAAAAUAGAAA